UUUAGAAAAAGAAAUGUCUCAGUUGUUUAGUAUACCAAAAGAGGUACUAUUUAUAAUAGCAUACAUUCAUUUUAGGACACAAAUGAACUUUUUACAAUUUGGUUAAGGAUUAUUAAAUUAUCCCUUAGUCCAUAUAAGUGAUAACAUACUUUUUAAAAUCUUUAUUUGAUAUUCAAGGAAAAUAUUUAUCUUCCCACUAUGUGUUGCUUCUAGUUAAAUAAUAACUGUAUGCAGAUAAUAAGAAUUACACAGAUUAAAACCUGCACACUUAAAAACAGAAUAAAAGAACAGAUAGAACUGGACACUACAAUAAUUACAUUGUGCUCUAUUGAACAAACAAUAGUACAUUAUUUGGGAGACAAGUAAGUGCUUAAAUAAGCAUUUUUGAUGUAAACCUCCAUCAUUCU
rnacentral:lncRNA from 1 species